rnacentral:lncRNA from 1 species
UUGAAUAACAUAUCUAUUAGUAUUGACAGUCACCUCAUCAGCUGGUGUUGCCUACCACCCUAUCAACACUUCUUCCUGAACGGGAGUAUCUUUUGGAGAAACUGUAGCCAUCAAUUUCAUUGUCUCCCAAACCCCGACGAUCCAAUGAAAAAUUCGUAGGCGAAGCUGAUCAUGAGAAACUACAAUAUUCCGGAAAAUAACCUCGCCUCGAUGCUUCCAAAUCUGCCAACAUAUAAGGUCGAACUCAAAACUUCUCGUUAAGUGAUUAAUACCUCCCAUCAGCUAAGUUUCGAACUCUUCGUCCUGAAAAUUCCUCCAAUAAUCUGAACCCAAUAUGUGUCGCCAUAUUCUAAAUUGGAAGUUGACAAUAAGAGGCUGCUAGAAAACUACUACCCAACCAAUUUAUAUUACUAUCCCCUCAACCACUUAAUUAAAUUCUUCAAUAUUGGGUUCAGAUAUUUGGAAUUCAAAUUAUAAAACACUAGCUAGUUGAUCAACUGAAAAUGAACAUCGACCGCAUUUUGUUACGAGUUAUAAAACAAAUAAAUAUAACAAGUUUACUCAAAAUUUGCCAUCACAACUUAAUCUCUAGGCCACAAGUUAGGCAACCUCUCAGAAUAUGCCCAUCACAAAGCCAUAACGGUAUAUCUAAUAAGAUAUAUAAUUGGAUCAACAAAUUUUGAUGUCUUGUUGAUUAUGACAUAUUUUAUGUAUAGAAUAGUUAAGUAUUUUAUUUUUAAUCAUCGUGGUAUGUAAAAUAACCAAAUGUUUGAGUUAAAAAAAUUAAAUGUUUGAGUUAUAUAAUUUCAUAUUGAUUUAUUACUGAUUUUACAAAGUUUAAGUGCUUGAAAAUUACAUGGUUUAUUGAUUUUAUACUUUAAAUUCUUAUUUUUUUAAUUACGAUUAUAAUCGAAAGCCGUCUAAAAAUGAAUUAGUAUGAGUACAAUAUGAUAUUUACUAUUUAAAAGGCAAUAAUAAUGGAUAUUACUCGAACCUAAAACUACCGGAAAAUAAGAAUAUAUAUUAACGAACUCAAAUCCGAUUAUUAAACCUACCAUAAUAAAUAUUACCCUCCAACCGAAAUGAAUUAAUGAAGUUAAUAAUUGACAAGAAUGGUCAAUGGUAUACUACUAUAUAAUAACACAAGCUAAGGCUACCAUGGAGGAGCUAAACUACAUUUUUCAACGCAUCACCUCACCCUUCAAAACCCUUAAUUAAGACGUACGUCAGAGAAAGAAAGAGUCAGAUUAUCUAGCUAUAUCCAAAAGCAUGGGAUCCCACGGCGGCGCGAACACUAAACGACACGUCGUAUGCAUCCCUUACCCGGCGCAAGGCCACU